GGCACUGUCCCACACUUUAUGGGCCCCGGAGGCGAAAGAGAGCAGAGAAAUUCCUGUUUUAUCCCCAAAAUGCUACUUAAGAUCAGGGGAAAGAUCGUGGGCAUUUGGAUCAGUUAUCUGGAAGAAAAGAAUCCUGAAAAUAAAGCGAUGAGUACAACCUCCCUUCAGGUUCUGAUCCGAGUUCCGUCACUCAAGGACCAUCCCAGAGGCGAGAAGAGAGGUGCCAGCUCUGCCUGGAAAUCCCGCAGGAGAGGCCGGUGGGGCUGAGCACCCGCUUCUGCUUUUCUAAGUGAUUGGGAAGAAUGCGCGCCAGCCAACAGCAGUCGCCAUUCUUAGGGGCUCCAAACACACGCACGUGCCGCCUCGCAGCCCCUCCUGCUCUGAUGCUGGGGACGCUCCGCCGUCAGCCAUGGCAGCUUGAUUUACUGUGGCUGGGACAGCGCCAGGGCUGUUCCGGCUCAAGAUGGGGCGUCAGGCCUGCUAUCUGUGUCCCGAUGGGACCAGGAGCCAUCCCACCGGUGGAAGCACCCUUGAGUGCCAGUGUUUCAAGGUGAAGAAAGGGGCCUGGUGACUGUCCCUAAUCACGGAACCCUGUCACGGAGUGCUGGGGGCACGGGGCCCAGCGUCGGCCCCGCAGAACAACAUUUGGGUUUUCACACUCGACGCUGAAAAGCCAUUAAACGGAAAGGAAACCGGUGCCCUGCCCGCCAGCCGCCGUCCCGGCCCUCACAGUGCCGCUUUUGUUCGGGGUCCGGAGUGUAAAAUUGGAGUGGCAGAUUGUCGGCGCGUCCAUUGCGAAUUUCCUGGCUUUCAUCAGCUGCGCCACUCAAAUGACAGUAUUUAAUCCCAAAUGUUUCCUUCCCUUCCCCUGCCCCUCCGUUUCAUAAACCAGGGGGCCUCCCCCCACACUCGCAAAGUAGACUCCGCUUCCAUUUCUUCAACCAGAAUGAAAAGUAUAUUUAUGAUUUUUCUCUCGUAUAUUUGCAAUUACUCAAAACCCCCCUGAACACGUUCCGGGCGGGGCCUUGCCCAGGAGAACUCGACUUCCUGGGUUUUUGUGUAACGGGAGCAUCUUUUUGCUAACGUCUCCGCCCCCGCUAACCAUUUUAUGAGGUCAAAUCACACAUUGUACCUCCGGGGGCGGGAUCCUGGAGCGACCCGUCCAUGCCAUUUUAUUCUGUGGGCUGCGGCUGGGGUUACACUGCCCAUCAGUUGAGUCAGGCAGUUUUUCUAUCAUUUGGGGGUUUUUCAUCGUUGUUAUUUUAUUAAAGAGUGAUUUGCCCUUGAUAGGAGAAUUCGCCAUCUGAAAUUUAAGACUUGAACUUUCUUUCUGUUGCUUGGUAACUUUGUAGGAACAACCACUCAGCAGGGUGGCCCUGGUGAGACAACCGCUGAAAGGUUUCAAUACCAUCGUGUGUGCAUUUUCCGAUGGAUACACAUCCACGUGUGGAUAAAAUCGUCGCUUACAUUUUGCGUCGUGCACUGGAGCAUCCCCGUAACGUUUCCUAUAAAGCAGGCAGCAUGUGGUCCUGUCUGUGACGAGGCACUUUGGGGUGAGAAGGAGCAAGUGUGACACCUGCUUGUGUCUCAGCGGUGGCUGUGUGGAGUGCGCAGCCCCGAGCCGGGUCUGACGCCUGAGUCGGUCUGAUACCUGAGUAGGAUCGGAUCUCUGGCCGAGAUCCCCAUGGGCCGUGUGACAGUCAGUUUGACGUGUGGACUCAGCCAGGCUGUGGUGCCCAAGUCUUUGACCCCACCCUAAUCUGAGUGUUGCUGAGAAGGCUUUGGGCAGAUGUGGUCAACCCCUACGACCAGUAGCUUUCAGAGACCCGGAUAAUCUGGGGGGGCCUCACCCAAUCAGGUGAAGGGCUUAGGAGCAAAAUCCGAGGUUCCCCUGAGACGAGGAAUUCUGCCUCAAGACAGAAGCAUCCGCUCCUGCUGGAGUUUUCAGCCUUCCGCCAGCCUUACAGGUUUCGGGCUUGCCCGGCCCGACAGUCCGGCGAGACAGUUCCUUAAGACGGAUCCCUUUCAGAGCUUCUCUCCCCUGUUGGUUCUGUCUCUCUGGGGAGCCCUGAUCCGUACUGGCUGAGACCCACAGGGAUGUCAAGCCUGAGCCACGUAAGAGGACAGCAGUCUUGGCCGCUGAGGGUCUGCGAAAAUCAGAAAUGAGCUUCUCUGGCCCUCUUUCGGACCUUCUCGGAAUCUUGAGUUGUUUUCCAAGGAGUGUGUGUGUGUGUGGGGGGGGCCAGUGACAUGUGACAUGGACGUGCAGGACACGCAUCACCGCAUGUGCACCUACAUCAGGUGAGACCGGCUACACACCUGCGUUCACGGCCAUGGGCGGGGGGUCCCAGGAGACGGCUCCUCUGGCGGUGGACUUCCGGGGUGGACCACGGGACUCCUUAUGGACACGGACGGAAUAAUACCGAUGAGCCUGGAAUACACACUAGGGGUUUGUAGUGCCGUGUUGUGCAGCAGAGCAGAAGUCGUCCCGCUGGACUCCCACUCACGUCGCCCACCCCGGCUUUCCACGAGCUUGAAGCAGAGCAGGCUGUUGGCUCUUCCGGGCUCAGUGUGCGAAGGGCUCAAAUCAGGACCUGCCCUUCCAGUUCUGGGGAGCGGAUGCCUUGAUGCAGGCGAGGCCCUCAGGAAAGUGCCCCACUGUGGGACACCACGUAAGGACAUACGCUUUCAUUAUUCAAAUGACCAGUUCCUGCCCUACCACUGGAGUUGGGCUCAAGCCCCAGCACCACCACAAACAAGCUCUGUGGCUUUAGACUGGAACAUCAGCUUCAGAGAUGUUUGGGACCAAGGAUUCUUGCUCAAUACACCUUUGUGCUCUACAACCUUCCUUGUGGUGUCCAGUGCAGGAAAGGCAGAAAACUUCCCUUGGGCUCUGCUGUGUGACUUGUUUGAGUAACUCUACCUCUCUGAGCCUCAGUUUCCUCAUCUGUAGAAUGGGGAGACUAAUGGAACUUUGCCUGCCUUCCAGGAGUACACUGAGGGUCACCUGACAUAGUCGAUUUGAACGUGCUUUGCAAACUGUGAAGUGUUCUGGAUGCUUGUAAGUCACGUGUGAGCAAGCUGUGGGGAAUCGUCUCUCCAUCAGACGCGUGUGUUUGAUGUUGGCUUUUAAUCUCAAACGGCCAAGAGAGGGGAGCCUUGAAUGCCAAUGGGAUUUGAAACUCCUUCAAGGGUUCCGUAUACUUUCUAAGUUCCAGGUUGGCCGAGAUUAUGCAACGGCUGUGAUGAACCCUCCUCCUUUCUGGACUCAUCAAGGGCUCAUCACUUGUCCCAUAGGCUGGGCAAAAUCUUGAAGUGACACCAUGUUGGGGGUUGCGGGAAAGACGCCUUACAAGUGACAGAAUCUAAUCCUUCGUUCCCACGAGGAAUAAUGAUAAUGGUACCAGCUUCUGCUUGCCGAGUCCCAUCGAUGUACUAGUCGCUCUACAUGUGAUGACUGCAGAGUAGGCACCUGGUGCCCACUUUACAGAUGGGGAACUUGUGGCUUGGACAGCUCAAUAAGAAGGAAACUUCUCUACGUCACAAAAUUUGGAGGUGGCAGAAUUGAGAGUGGGAUCCAUGCUCUUUCACCCAAAGUCCAUGUUCCCUUUAGGACGCCAUGCUGGUUUUUGCUUUCCGCCAGACAACCAAUCAGCUCACCAAUCAACAAAUGAACAACCAUCCACCCAACCAAUAAAAACCAACCAAUAAUUAAUCAAUCAACUAACCAUCCAUCCAUCCAACCAACCAACCAACCAGCUAAUGAACAACCAUUCACAACUAAUCAAUAAUUAGUGAACCAACCAACCAACUGGUUAACAACCAGCCACCAUCCAAGCAACAACAUGCGUUGCUACCAGUCGUGUGCUCAGCACUGAGCUUUGGGACGGAGAGAACCCCCUGUCCCAUCCUCAGGGAACUGCCGGCCUGUGGGAAAGCAAGGACCACGGUCCUGCUCACAGCACCGGCCCCAAUUGUCUGUUCCGCAUCUGCCUCCUCAGCUGGGUGGGACUUCCCCAAGGCGAGGGUGACACCUUGGUCGUCCUUGUAGAGUUAGAGCCCAGAACAGGAGCAGCACAUGCAUGCACACAUUCACACAUGCAUGCACACACACACAACAUGGAAUAACUCAGAACACUAUGGAAUGAAUGAAGGAGUCUUAUCAGAAGUGGCUCGGAGGGUCAGAUCCAUCUCAGAGGGUUUGUGCGAAAGGAAGGUUAGACGAUGCUCUGGUCUGGAGAAUUCCCUGCUGGGUGGAGCAAAACAAAUACUUCCAGGGACGCUGCCUUCUGCUGAAGAGCUCUCACUGGGCCCUGUCCUGGACGGGGAGCACGCCGUGGCGGAAAGAGCCCCAGAUUGGGGUCAGGGGUCUGAGCCCAGCUGAGCCACUAACACCUUGGGUGGCCUUGGACGCCUAGCCUCAGUCACCCCCCCUCCACCGCCGCUCCCACAUUUUAUGGACGAGGCCACUGAGGCCCCAAGACCUGAGUUCGCCCCUCUCCAAGGCCCCUUCCAGCUCUGGCAUUUCCAGCCUUUUCUGGCUGCUCAUUAACGGAGUAUUUUCGUUUUCCAAUCCGCAUUCCAGCCUCCUCCCGCGAGCCUCGACCCCUCUGGCAGGGGAGCGGGCACUGUGCGCAGUUCUCUGGAACGCUCCGGGGACCCUCGCCCGUCUCCCACCGGAGCGGCCAGAGGCUAACUGGCAGGCACGGUCGCCUCCCGUACGGGCCCCGCAGACGUGCGCUCGGGGCCGGGGAGCCGGCGCUGCCGGGAAGCACGCGCUCCAUCUCUCUGUCUCUGUUACAGGCCCCGCGGUUCACCGUCUGCUCGGAAAUUGGGUAAGUGUUUUCUUACCCAAACUUGAGUAACCGCCGCUGAAAUGUAUGGUUGGAAAGUCUUGGCUCUCAGAACAGACCACACAGUGACUCGCCCGGUGAAACCCAACGCCCUGGGCUUACUCGGUUUUACCUAAGACACCGCUACAGGAAGAAAUGGGUUUGGAGGCGAUGGAAGUCUUUCCAUCCAUUUCUGAGGGGUUUUAUUAGCAGGAGGAAGGCAGAGGGGUGUCGGUGUGGCUCUGCUUCUCAGCCUGGGCUGGGCGUGGGGGCAGGAAAGCAGGUCCGAGAGGGGGCGAAGGGUGCUCCCCGGGAGCCUGUGGGCCCUGGAGGCUGGCGGCGGCUGCCUGCUGCGUGUGUUCCGUGGGAUCCGGAGCCAGCGAGGAUUCCAGCCCCGGCCCACCGUGUCUUGUGCCACAUUCUGGCAGGCUGUUCGACAUUCAGUGCGGGCCCCAUUUUUAAUCAGCCUCUUUCACCCACACAAGCCAAGAAAAAGCUGUAAAGUCAGAAGGAACGCUGGCAUCUGUUCCAGGCCUCAGAACAGAGCAGAUAUUGUCCCGGCCGCGCAGUUCUCGGCCGCCCUCAUUCUUGUCGACCACACAAAUGGUUCCAGUCAGCUUCCAGAGGCUGUCCGUGGCGUUUCAAGAUGUUUGCUCGCUGCCUUCGCAGGUCAAUUCUCCUCCAGCCUUGGAAGUCACCUUCCCACCCACGCUCUCUGCCUGACACAGAAGGGAAGAUGAGGCGGGAAUUGCUCGUGUGUGUGUGUGUGUGUGUGUGUGUGUGUGUGCCAUUGACAGAUUUCAAUUUUCUAAGUGAGCUGAAAUGCCCUCCUGAGCAGCCGCCACCCCUGACCAAGGAGAUGCCCAAGGAGAGGCCACGGGGCCUCUGCAUUAUGUGGGGAGUGCUGGUGUGGGCGGUUCUCUCCUCGGAACUCGGGAAACACGGCUGCAAGACCACGCCCCACCUCUCACGUGACCCUCACCUGUUGAUGGGGCCAUGCCCGCCUUUCCACCCUGUCCCCGGGGGCUUGGGGCUAUCCCGUCUGAAACCCCUUUUUGGGGCUGACAGUGGCUGUGUCAUUCACCUUCUGCAGAGGACACAGGGCCUCAAGGCCAUGGGGGACUUAAGACGUUUUCCUCUUUCAUCAGAUUGUGUGGAAGCUGAAGGCCUUUUAUGCCGACCUUCCAGGGAGCAGGUUAACAAGGCAGAAAGGACAAGGGUCUCGUUGCUACUGAACAAAGUCAGGUUUGUUGACACAGCAGCAGCCGGGACUCGGAAAUCAAGUCCCACGACAGAGGACUGGCCUCCCCACCCCCACCCCCCGCAGAAAGAGCUGUCUGUGCAAGAAGGUAAUCAUUCCCAGUGGAACUUUCUAGAUUGGAGGCUUCACGUCUGAUCUGUUUCUGUUGAGUGAUGGGAACAAAUCUGGAGAAGCCCUCGUGGUGGGACAAACACGUCGUGCUGUGCUGAAAGCUGCCGCUGGCCAGGCGUGGUGCUGGAGACCUCCGUGUGAUGUCUUUUCAUAGCCUUUAAGGCCCUUCCUUUCCUGUGGGGAAAGGAACGAUAAACUUCGAUUUCCCACCGUGCGUUCGGCCAGGAGGGUAAGGUGUUGGCUCCCUCCCUCCCCCCGGGCUCUGUCGUCAGCCCGCUGCUCUGACUCAGAGACCAGGGUGUCUGAUGUAGGCCUGGGGUGUCCAGCAGACAUGCCCGUGACCCCCAGCCUAGAGAUUGCAUAAUGAGGGAGAAAGGUCGAAACCCUCCCCUGCCUCUGUCGUAGGCUGGCCUUCUGGAACUGGACACUGAGACAGAGGUUGGGAACAGGAUUGUUUGUGUGGUUUUUCUUUUGGAUUAAUUCUUUGGCGGGAAGGCAGAGGACGCAGGACUGGGCAGAGGGAGACGGUGAACUGCUCUGUGGCCUGGCACAGCCCGGGACGGUGUGAUGGGGCAGUCGACGUGAAGGCUUCGUCAGAGUCCACACGGCCUAAAUGCCCAGGUAGACAUGCCGGCAAGGGCUGGCUUGGGCCAGGCGGCUCUCUGCAGCCGGGACAGACCUCGAAGGGGCUGUCAGCUAGCUGACCACACUCCCCGCAGCGGGCGACCUGAAGGCAGUUUAAUUCUAGACCAGUGCUCUCUAACUGUGCCCUCGGACCCUGGGAGUUCUGUGAUAAAGAAAGACCCGUGAAUGGUUUCCAAAUUGCAAAACAUAUGUCUUUAUACCUGAAAUAAAGCCACAGCCGAAGGUUGCCCUUGUCCGUUCUAGACGUGAUGAGCAAACGUUAGCAGUGCGGGCUGCACGAUGGCAGACGUGUCGAGGACGGAAUCGCAGACACGUCUCCAGCCGGGGACUUGGGGCCAGUCACGUAGCUACUUACCCACUGUCCCUUGACCAAACUCUGGUCAGGCCCCUCUGGGCUCUUUCUCAGCCGGGCUUUGACCUUGCGCAGGCCCUCAAGAGCCAAGUCUUAGCAAGAACCCUGCUAAGUCAGUUUAGCCAGAAUCGCCCAGCCUCCAUAUCAGGCUGCCUCUACAUCCGCCCAGUCCUCGUCGCUCCCCCACCCCGGCCGGUCUGACCCCCCGGCCCGCCUGCAGCAGGAACCCUGUUCCGUCGGUUUGGCCGGGACCCUCUCCCUCACCCCUGAGGUUUCUCCUAUUAAUUUUCCAUCCAUGGACCCCCACCUGCGCCUUGGCUAUAAAUUCUCACUUUUCCUUGUUGAAUUCAGAGUCGAACCCCAUCUCUCUUUCCUCCUGCAAAAUCUCCUUGCAGUGAGCCCUAACCGAUUGUGACAGUCCU
rnacentral:lncRNA from 1 species